rnacentral:rRNA from 1 species
UGAGGAAUAUUGGUCAAUGGGCGGAAGCCUGAACCAGCCAUGCCGCGUGCAGGACGACGGCCCUACGGGUUGUAAACUGCUUUUCCGGGGGAAGAAUAAGGGCGACGCGUCGCCCGAUGCCGGUACCCCGGGAAUAAGGAUCGGCUAACUCCGUGCCAGCAGCCGCGGUAAUACGGAGGAUCCGAGCGUUAUCCGGAUUUACUGGGUUUAAAGGGUGCGUAGGCGGGCCCCUCAGUCAGCGGUGAAAGUCUGCGGCUCAACCGUAGGAUUGCCGUUGAUACUGGGGGCCUUGGAUUCGGUCGAGGCGGGCGGAAUGCGUGGUGUAGCGGUGAAAUGCUUAGAUAUCACGCAGAACGCCGAUUGCGAAGGCAGCUCGCCGGGCCGAAAUCGACGCUGAGGC